AUCAUUAAUCAUACCAAAUUUUAGAUUUCGGAGUUAAUGUUAGGUUUAGAGUUAAGAUGCAUAUAAGAGUUUAGAACUACUUUCUUAGAAAGCUAAUGAACCUUAUCCCUAACCCGAGUAAGGAUUAGAAGUAGAGUUUUGAAGUCACGUCUCCAGGACAUGCUGGCAAUUGAGAGAAGUUGCAAAGUGUUCUUGUUGGUUAAAUAUUGUAUCAAUAAAUAAAUAUUUGAGAGUUAAAGGUUAGGUAGAAAGCUACAGUCAAACCCUUUACGAAUUUAGAAUUAAAGACAUAAUUAAAU